rnacentral:lncRNA from 10 species
CCCGCCGGUAGUUGUUCAUCUCCUGUGGAUCCCAGAGCCCAGAGCUGAGCCCACUGCCCCAUAGCAACCCUGGUCCCACAUCCACAUCUACACUUGAAAGUCAGUGGGUCCCCCACAAGGCCAGUGAGCACCAGGAGCCCCAAGCCAUGGCCCUAAGUCUUAGCAGCUCCCUGGAAGGGUGGUUAUGACUUGAUCCUCACCCAUCCUGGCCAUGUGAGGGCAGCCACACUAAUGUUCUCUCCCCGGGGCCACAUCACGUCCUGUGAUACCAACUCAGGGGGAAACCCCAGGUGUGGACACAGGGGAGGAGGCCUAUGGGCAAUGGAGACUUGAGAAGAUCCAGGGCCAGGUUUGCAGGGUCUGGCUCGAUCAUAGCUAUUUCUUCACCUUUUCCCUCCUCCUUCCCCAUCUUCUAACUCCUCUCAUUCCUCACGUCACUGAGAACCCAGGGAAGAACCUCUCAGAAAUCCCACUGGAUGCCACUUGGAAGGUGACUGGGCAUCAGCCCUCCAAACAGCUCAGUAGUCAGAGGACCCAAGGUCACCCUGGGAGACCCAGGUUAGAGCUUAGUGGAGGCUGGGAUCCAGCUACAGGAUGUGGGGUAUGAGGUGGGGCUGGGGGCUGGAGUCAGCCAUGAGGUCAGGAACAACAGCAAUCCUAAUGUCUGAUGCUCAUUGAGCAUUCACUGUGUUCCAGGUCUUCUUCUAAGCUUUUUAUGUGCCCUCCCUCAGUCCUCUCAUCAGACCUGCGUGGAUAGGUACUAUUAUCUCCGUUAUACCAAUGCGGAAACCAAGGCCCAGAGAGCUACCAAGAAAGAAAAGCGGCCCCUGGUGGCCAGGAGCUGGCGGCCACAGCUGGACCCUGGUGUCAUUCACAACACCACUCUCUGACCACUCUGUAAAGUGUGUGAACACAGAUAAAACAUAGUCAUUGUCCAAACCACAAAAAUGACCAAACUCCCUUUCCUGGCUAAUAUGAGUGACUGCUGCUUCUUUAUUAGUGACCAUCAUUCCUGCCUUCUCGAUGAGAACUCCUAUGAUACCGACUCUUAGAAUGCUGAUUCUAAGCCAGCCUCCCGCUGUCAUCUAACCCAGAGCAAAGCCUGUUUCCUCAAACCCUUUCCCAAAUCCCCUAACACCAGCUUGAAUCUGUGAAGUCCUUUCCCACACACUCUUUCUGGGAUGCCCCGCAACUCCCAUGGUUGCAUCCCCCUUACUACAACGAGUCAAUAAACCCAGAAUAACUCCAACUUUGUUAAAC